CAGUUAUUGCGUCAGCCAUUUUCCGUUCAAUUUUGCUAAAGUCAAAAGUAGCGUCCGGUUAUUUCUGUUAUAAUUUUCGACAUUUGCGUAAUUUUUUUGAUUGUUUUUUGAUAUUUGUGUUAAUUAAUAUGCUAUGUAUCGGUACGUUGAUUGUUCGAGUAAAUUUAUUUCGUUCUACGAUGAUUUUUGACCGAUUCAAUUGUUUCGCAUUCAAGUAUGUGCUAGUCACAUGUAAGCCUAUUGUAUUCCGCGGUGUACUUUUAAAUUGUUGAAAAAUGCUGUAUAUUAUUCGUGUUAUGUGCAGUACAUAUUAUUGCGAAUUGUUUUUCUCAUUUACGCAUCAUCGGAGGCAGGCUGACUGGAGAAUUACCCGAAUUGGAAUAAUUAAUACCUACGGUGGCAAUUAGAGCUUUCGAAUGCAGAUGGACGUAGAUAUCGAACCCAAAAUAAAAGAAAAAAAUGAAGAUAUUAUGACUUUAUGCAGAAUGAUGAAAUGAUUGAAGAAACAAAACGAGUCACAAUUGCGAUUAGAGCUCCUUCUGCGAGCAAAUGGACUUGGACAAACGUAGAUAUCGAAACGCAAAAUGGAAGAGUAAAUGAAGAUAUGCAAAGUGAUGAAAUGAUUGAAGAAACAACAAUAAGUCACAAUUGCGAUUAGAGCUCCUUUUGAUGAUUUUGUGAAGAAUGAAAAUUGUUAUCAGUACUGUACGCGAGAUAUUUCCCCUCCCUCCGAAGAUGAAUUCGACGCGAUUUUUGGAAUUUCUGCUAGAAUUGGAUUGGAUCGGGUAUUGUCUUGGCAGUUAUAGGCGAAUUAGCGGUCGUCAUUGUCCGUCGGUGAUGGCCACUAAUUGAAGUGCCUCCGCAUGAUUGUGGAUGACGGAUAUGAGCCGGAUGAUUGGUCAACGUGGCGACUUACUCAGAUGGACUUCCUGACACGAAUUGUGCUUCCGUGCUGGUGGAUGCUGAUUUCGUUGCGUAUCCGAGCCGUGGCGAGAUCACUAAAGGUAUUCCACCUGGCCAUUUUCCCAUCCGGUCAGCUUGGGUACGGUUGGAGAGAAAGUCUGCUAUAUGGUCUGUGUUAGUUGGGGUUAAAAUUUACGUGUUUUUUCUGUUGAAAAUUUCUAAAUUUUGUCUUGCUUUUUUAUUUUUUAUUUAUUUAUUUAUUUUUUUCAAUUCAAUCAUUAUUUUUGGCUUCAUAUUUUCCUACAUUCUUCUCCCGUCUCUAUAAAAGAUGUAAACAAUUUUUACGGGUUGGUUUCAAUAUGUAUAAGGUAAGUAUGGCGUGCGAGUUUUCUACGUAAAUUUCAUUUUUUCCAUUUUUUUAUUUUUUAUUUUUUUUUAAAUUAAAGUUGUCCCUGUGCAUAACUUAUGUCCAACUUUACCAGAUCGUCUCGGUGGCCCAAGGGAAUUGUUGCCGGCGGGCCUGUGGAGUACUGGUAAUGCAAAAUUACAUUUUUUUUCUGCACAUUCUCUUGAUUUUCGCGAAAAGAUCGCAACUUUCGAGUGGAGGAGUUGCGCAACCGGCUCAUGUCUUGGACGUUACGGCGUAGCCUCCGCGUGUCCCAUGAGAUCCCACUCCCUCAGCAGCAACAAUCUGGAUAAGCCAACUUUACCGCUUCGCAAUGCCAUUAAUCGGGUUGGCGGUACUGCAAAAAGCUGCACUUUAGGUUUUUGGACCACGCGUAAAGAUCGCUACGCUCGAGGGAAGACGUAGCGCAGGUUCUCCUGGACGUACCCGGUAUCGAUACUGGCGCGGGUUCCUUGAGAAAUCCUCUUCCCUCAACCCAUUCUCAGUCCUUUGGGUGGGGUAUUCUUGUUCAUGAUGAUGCGUGAAGGGGUAAAGUAUGACGGACUUACUUUGCCAAGAUGGAGAGAAUGUGGUCUUCUACGUAAUUGAAUGCAACGAAAAAAUGAACAUGUGAAUGAUGCUCGUCGAAGGAUUUCACAAAGUAAUUGUCGAAGAUGGAAUCAGUUUUCUCUGAACAUGUGACAAGAAAAAAUGCUGGCAAUAAUUGCAAAGGAAAUGAAAAAAUGAAUAGAUUCGUAAAAGAUGCUCGUCAAAGGAUUUUACAACGUAGUUGUCGAAGAUGGAAUCAGUUUCCCAAUUGCUGGAGGCGAAGGCAUUUAUCCUGAUUUAAGAAUGUAUGGAAUUCAGAUGCAUAUGCUAUAUCUACGCGUGGUAUCAUCAGCUCCAGAAUACAUAUCCAGCUUCGAACGUGUGUGACACCUUGUGUAUGUAAUUUUUGUUAACUCGAUAUCUCUCGCCUCCCCCUCCCCCGCCUGUUCAGUAUCGAUUAUACGCGAUCGGCUUUUGACGGACGGGAAUAUAACCAGCUUGGCGAUUUUAUUUAGCAGAACCAGAAGUUUAUUGAACUUCGAGAAGCACGUUUAUUUAUGCAUAUAUGUUAUAUGUAUAAUGUUAGUGAAUGGAGCUUGUCGCCCCGCCUCCUCUACCUUCAUCGCAGCACUUGGCACGUUGGCCUAUGAACUUCACAUACGACAGACGCAAUACAGCGCAGAAUAAUUAUUUGAGCAGUAUACUCAGACGCACUUUUUGUCACUUGCGAAUUUUGAACGCAGCACUUGAGCGUGAUAAUUUUAGCUGUCACAAUUUUUCCUGGUUGAAGAACAAUAUAAUAUUAUGCAUGCGAAUUUGUAAAUGUGAUAAUGCCCCUACCUGAUAUUUGGCGAUUGAAAUGAUUCUAUUGGAAAAGCUCUAGAUUAUUCCCUGAAGAUGGAAUAGUUCUAUAUUGAGAACUUGCUUGAACGUUCGCUGCGUUGUUUAUGCAGUAUUUACCUAUGUACUUGUACUGCAAAACUCAUCGAUUGUAUGGAUUAUUUGCGCUCAAUUUUUUCAAUUGAUUGAUGGAUGGAUAUCGUCGACGUAUUAUGGAAGAAUUUUUUGAAGCUCGACAUAUAUGAUACGAGUAUUUUUACGUUUAAUUUUAGCAUUUUUACGGCGUAAUAUACUGACUCAAGACAACAUUAGUGCAGUACCAGAACAUUUUUUCUGAUUCUAAAACGAUGGUUUUUUGAUUUGCCCCUUCCCUAUCACUAUUUUGGUAUUCAAAGGGGUUUCUUUUCAAUAUACUUAUUUUAGACAGUACUUUGAUCAAAUCAGUAAUAUGAUUUUUAUUUUUUUUAAAAAUUGGAUAGGUACUAGAAUAUUUUGGAUCAAAAUUGGAAAAAUGUUUAUUUAGCUAUUUUCAAAAUUAAUUGUAUAGGUAAGUCAGGCGCCGAUGUUGGUAUCUGGUCAACCUGGAGACCUCACAACAUCGGAAGAGACCCGGAGGGUUUUGCGAUGCCUACUGCGAACCGCCCCCGGCAUCCGGGACUCCACGACGGCAUGGUAGGGUCGCAUUAAACGAAGGGUAAGAGGGAUGGUAGAUCUUACACGUUUAACUAGAUAUCUAACAUUGUUCGAAUCGCAGGUCGAAAGGUCUUUUCGUCGUCGGUGGCGUUCUUUGGUACCUCGUGUAUGACUUUUUCCUUCAAAAACACACAGACGUGUGAUUUUUGGAGCGAACGAGUCUUAUACGAGUUAUCCGAGGCGUCGUCGGCGAUUGGUGGUGCGUGAAAGGUGCGUGUCGAAGCUGUAGGGUCUGUCCCUGUCGAUAGCAGGCCGUGAAAACGGAGCAGUUUGGUUCGCAUGCUAAAUUAGUCGCAACCGUAGGCCGACGGGCCGAACGUUGCGCAAAGUCUUUCGUGUCUGGAAGCUGGCAUCUGCUACGCCGUGUAGGAGGCGCGUGAACGUGAAGUGUGCGCGAAGUUGGCGAAGGCUUCAAAAUAGGCAUAUGGGGUAAGAUUCGAGACAAGUCCGCAAGAACGGUACACUUGGUACAUAGGGGGCUUGCUCGGCGCCUCAAUAUUGGUACGGGCCAGAGGUUGGUGCGUACGGCCCUCCGAGUCGACAGAGCUCGGACUGCCCUUGUAGCCGUCUUAGGCGAGGUUAGGGUAGAAAUCCGUGCGCCGUCUACUUGCUUACUGCUUCCCGGCGGUACACGUGCCGACCGGGGUUUUUACAGGAUCGGCUUAUCAAAGAGGAUGUAGGCUGGCGCCUUUCAGGCGGUCUGUUAUCACUUCGUACGAGUGUAACUUUUAUUCCUACGUCGAGGUCAGCGUGUUGUAAAUUUUACACUCGUACGAAGUUAUAACUGACCUGCCUGCGAGGUCAGCUAUGUACCUUGCCUUGAGGAUCAAGUUCAGCCUAUCCCGCAGUGUUGGUGCUUUGGUCGAAUGCCCGUGAAACUCAUGAAGCAUUCAACAGCACUGCCCGUGGUGAGUGUAGGGAAUUUGAGAUACUGUUCCGGAGAGUUGGGCCCGACAAAGGGUUCGAUUGUCUGGACUGUUGAGAGUGCGAGAAGAGCGGAUGUCGAUCUGGAUUUUUAUGCUUUGUUAGAAUCUAGUUAAAGGUGUAGAGUCUUUCCGUCAUCGUAUGGGGUAGAGAAAUAAUCGAAAAAUUGAUGUAUUAAAACGUUUAGCAUCGAACUUUCUAGGAAUGUGUUUUAGUCAUCAUUGGUCGGAUGGGAAAUGACUGGGGUUCGAUUUUGGUACUGUGUGAAGAGUCAGUCAGGUACGGGUGAGUCGUUACUAUGUUACGUAUUAUAAGUUAGUUUACACGAGUCGAUUCAGGUGAGUCGUUAUUUAAUUACUUAUUAAUUAAGAUUAGUUUAUUUGUGUCGAAGAUAUAAGACAAGCGACGAACGAAAUUUGCCGAGAAAUUGAAAAUCAGGACCACCCCCCCCCCCCGCCCCUUUACUUUUUAUAUAUGUAUAUGUUGAUGUAUCAUUUGCAUUUCUGUUUGUGUAUUUUUUUUUUAUUUUUUUUUAUUUGUAAGUAUGUAUCAUAUCACAUGUUAUCGUUAUUCGUGUAUUUUUGUAAUGGCCAAUCAUGGUUUUUCACUGUCGAGCGGCCGGCAGUGUUUUUUAUUCCAGAUUGGUCAACGUGUUGUAGAAUUAUAAGGUUGUAUUGAUUUCUUUGCCGUUAAAAAAUUGAAACGAUUUUUGUUU